CCUACGGGUGGCUGCAGUGAGGAAUAUUGGUCAAUGGGCGAAAGCCUGACGCAGCGACGCCGCGUGAGGGAUGAAGGUCUUCGGAUCGUAAACCUCUGUCAGCAGGGAAGAACGGUCACUGUGCUAAUCAGCAGUGAAUUGACGGUACCUGCAAAGGAAGCACCGGCUAACUCCGUGCCAGCAGCCGCGGUAAUACGGAGGGUGCGAGCGUUAAUCGGAAUUACUGGGCGUAAAGCGCGCGUGGGGGGUAUGUCAGGUCAGGGGUGAAAGCCCGGGGCUCAACGGGGGAACGGCGUUUAAACUGGCCAACUGGAGGGGUUGAGGGGAAAGGGGAAAUUCAGGUGGUGGAGUGAAAU
rnacentral:rRNA from 1 species